rnacentral:rRNA from 1 species
AUGCUACGCGGAUCAGCUUCGGCGGCCAGCCGAGAUCACGUGUUCGCGUUGGCGGAGGACCACCAGCAGUGCUACCUCACCAAGUGGGCGGACCAGAGCAACAAGCGUCGCGCCGAGUUUGCCGCCCGUAUUCCGGCCAUCGCGGCGCAGGUGGCAUCUGAGGUGUCGGCGGCCGUCGCAGAAGCGCUACGGGCCGCGCGCGCAGGGUACCACGAGUACCUCGACCAUGCGCCAACGACUACAUCAACCCCAACUGUGUCUCUGGCGGACGACAACGCAUCUGUUUCUGAUGCAUCCGUGGUGGUCUCUGCUCAGAGAUCGGCAUCAACCUUCACGCAGCAACAACAACAGCAGGAAGAAGAGGAUGCGCCGCGCCAGACAAUUGAGAACAGAGACGCCAGCGUCCUCGCUGCUUGGAUGCCCGCCACAUGUUCGACACAAUGUGCAAGCCGUGCCGCCAUCGUGUCGGUGCCGGCGCCCGCUUCCCCCGCAACACCAGCUUUGUCCAAGGUCACCAUCAACGCCGUCGAGCGGUACUGUGUCGGCCUCGAGCCAGCGGCCUCGACCUCGACGCCGACCACCACACUGGACGUCUUGGGUGCAUGCUCAACAGCAGCGAACUCCCACACGCACAAUGCCAUCUCCACCACCAUCAUUCCAGCGCCAGGGGUAGUGCAGGCAAUGGCCAUGGAUAUCUCAAUGCCAACCCACACCUCUACAUUGGGCGACAUGUACUCUGUUGACGCGUCGGCCGCCACCUGCUCGACCGCGAGCCCAGGAGGGGACAAUGCUACAACUCUUGUCUCUGUCGCUGUGGAGGCGUCAACAGCAAUCGAAAUCGCUCCAAGUGUGGCCGCCCCAUUGGUUUGCCUGGGUGAUCUCCACUUCAAGCUGUACACAGGUGCCAUCAGCAUGUUCCAAAGUGUUCCUAUGUCAACGUCUUCCAGGUGUUCUGCAAAAAGUUUAGACCAAGACACCAACAUGGAAUUACCAGAAUCUGCACUCGGCGUAUGUCCGCCCACGAGAGUAGCGUGUGCCUACUUCCACUCUAGUCUUAUGCCACUAAGUGCUACAGUUUUGAGGAGUGCUCGUGUCCAGAAGGUCAACAGGUUCCAGUUGCUCAACAAUAACGACAACAUCAGUGUCACCAAGGAGCAGGACAAGUGA